rnacentral:rRNA from 1 species
GUAGGUGGCAAGCGUUGUCCGGAAUUAUUGGGCGUAAAGCGCGCGCAGGCGGGUCCUUUAAGUCUGAUGUGAAAGCCCACGGGCUCAACCGUGGAGGGUCAUUGGAAACUGGGGGACUUGAGUACAGAAGAGGAAAGCGGAAUUCCACGUGUAGCGGUGAAAUGCGUAGAGAUGUGGAGGAACACCUGUGGCGAAGGCGGCUUUCUGGUCUGUAACUGACGCUGAGGCGCGAAAGCGUGGGGAGCAAACAGGAUUAGAUACCCUGGUAGUCCACGCCGUAAACGAUGAGUGCUAAGUGUUAGGGGGGUUUCCGCCCCCUUAGUGCUGCAGCUAACGCAUUAAGCACUCCGCCUGGGGAGUACGGCCGCAAGGCUG